CCCAGCGGCGGACGGCUGAGUAGCACGUGGCUGACCUGCCCUCGGGUGGGGGAUAGCGGACCGAAAGGUCCGGUAAUCCCGCAUAAGGUUUUCGCUUUACGGGGUGGAGAAGAAAGCCUUCGGGCGCCGGAGGAGGGGGCCGCGGCCCAUCAGGUGGACGGUGCGGUAACGGCGCACCGUGCCUGCGACGGGUGGCCGGGCUGAGAGGCCGGACGGCCAGACGGGGACUGGGAGACGGCCCCGACGCCUACGGGCGGCAGCAGUUAGGGAUCUUGCGCAAUGGGAGGAAUCCUGACGCAGCGACGCCGCGUGGGGGAUGACGGCCCUCGGGUCGUAAACCCCUUUUCUGAGGGACGAGGAUGGACGGUACCUCAGGAAUAAGCACCGGCUAACCCCGUGCCAGCAGCCGCGGUAAUACGGGGGGUGCGAGCGUUGUCCGAAUUCACUGGGCGUAAAGGGCGCGUAGGCGGCUCAUUCAGUCCGGUCUUCAAGCGCGGGGCUUACCCCCGCGUCNGGGCCGGGGACGGGUGGGCUGGGGGCCGGUCGAGGGAUGCGGAAUGCCGGGUGUAGUGGUGAAAUGCGUAGAGAUCCGGCGGAACACCGGUGGUGAAGGCGGCAUCCUGGGCCGGAACCGACGCUGAGGCGCGAGAGCGCGGGGAGCGAACCGGAUUAGAUACCCGGGUAGUCCGCGCCGUAAACGGUGGGCACUAGGUGUGGGGGGUAUCGACCCCCUCCGCGCCGGCGCGAACGCAGUAAGUGCCCCGCCUGGGGAGUACGGCCGCAAGGCUAAAACUCAAAGGAAUUGACGGGGGCCCGCACAAGCAGCGGAGCGUGUGGUUUAAUUCGAUGCGACGCGAAGAACCUUACCAGGGCUUGACAUGC
rnacentral:rRNA from 1 species